rnacentral:rRNA from 1 species
GACGAACGCUGGCGGCGUGCUUAACACAUGCAAGUUGAACGAGAAUUUUUCGAGUGAUUUCUUCGGAAUGAUCAUGAAAAAGGAAAGUAGCGAACGGGUGAGUAACACGUGAGAAACCUGCCUUUCACAAAGGGAUAGCCUCGGGAAACCGGGAUUAAUACCUUAUGAAACCAAACACUCGCAUGAGAGAUUGGUUAAAGAUUUAUCGGUGUUAGAUGGUCUCGCGUCUGAUUAGCUAGUUGGUGGGAUAAAAGCCUACCAAGGCAACGAUCAGUAGCCGGGUUGAGAGGUUGAACGGCCACACUGGAACUGAGACACGGUCCAGACUCCUACGGGAGGCAGCAGUGGGGAAUUUUGCACAAUGGAGGAAACUCUGAUGCAGCGACGCCGCGUGAGUGAUGAAGGUCUUCGGAUUGUAAAACUCUGUCCUUAGUGAAGAUAAUGACAGUAACUAAGAAGCAAGCCCUGGCUAAAUACGUG